UGGCCUGGCCUUGUCACUCAGCUCUCCCAGAUCACACGUAUCUCAACCUCAGUACAGGCCCUUCCGGAAACUGACUAUCUGAGUGGCAAUGUGCUCGCUGAGGUCAGACCUCUCAGUCUGUCCUACUGGGCGCCAUUUCCUAGGCCUUUCUGCUGUUUGCUUUGAUUUGGCAGUUCUGGUUUUAUUGUUGUUUUUCAUGUGUGUAGGCUUUUGGUUCUUUUGUUUUUUUUGGGGGACAGGGUCUGGGCUCAGGGCUGGGCUCAUAGCAAAACAUCUUCUGCACUUGCACUUCUGAUAGUCCUGUGUCUACCUCUUGAAUUCUAGAAUUAAAGGUGUGCACUAUUUUAUUGUUUAUGAGAUACUGGGCUUGAGCCCAGGGGCUCUGGCAUGCUACUCAAACAUUCUACUAACCCUGACAGUCUUAGUACCUUUAGACCUUUCUAGAUUCCCGUGAUGCUUUCUCACUUUCCUUCAAAAGAUUCAUCUUCAAAGAUUAAUCCAUACUGGCUAUCCAUGAAAAAACGUUUGGCUGAAUGCUGACCGUGUAGCUCAGACUGGUGUGGUCUCAAAAUCAUGGCCUCAAACACAUUGAGAUCCACCUGCCUCUGUCUCCCGAGUGCUGGAAUUAAAGGUGUGUACCACCACCAUCCGGCAGGAUUUGUUUUUUUAACCAUCCAUCUUGCCAAGUCAGGGUUUCACUGUCUACAUCUGGCUGGCCUGGAACUAUGUUGUGGACCAGGCCAACUUUGAACUCACAGAGACUUACUUGCUCUGCUGGGAUUGAAGAGAAUACCCUCGGCUUUCCCCUACUUUCCACCUGGAAUGAACGCGACACUGUCACCUGGAUCUGCACUCCUGGAGUCAGCACUGGGAAGGCUGAGACAAGAGGACCAUCUCAAGUUCAAGAGCACACUAAGUGACAUAGUGAGUACCGGGUCUCUCUCUCUCUCACUAUCACUACACAUGUGUCCACACACGUGAAUGCAUACACAUGACACACACACACCACACAAACUCAUG